UACGGAGGAUCCGAGCGUUAUCCGGAUUUAUUGGGUUUAAAGGGAGCGUAGGCGGGUUGUUUAGUCAGUUGUGAAAGUUUGCGGCUCAACCGUAAAAUUGCAGUUGAUACUGGCAUCCUUGAGUACAGUAGAGGUAGGCGGAAUUCGUGGUGUAGCGGUGAAAUGCUUAGAUAUCACGAAGAACUCCGAUUGCGAAGGCAGCCUGCUGGACUGUAACUGACGCUGAUGCUCGAAAGUGUGGGUAUCAAACAGG
rnacentral:rRNA from 1 species